rnacentral:rRNA from 1 species
AUGCUACAAAAAGGUUCCCAAAAUCAAUCCCCUCGCUUCGCUAGUACUACUCGCCGGCGGCGUGGACAACGCCAUCCUCCCCAGCCGACCAAAUCACCCACCGAGAGGAGCCCUAGCAUGAGCACGAGAGGGGAGAUGGCUCCCCGCCGCCGCAGCACCUCUCCGCCGCCCGCCUCUCUGCCAGACGACGACGACAUGCUUCGGGAGAUUCUCCUCCGCCUCCCGCCGCGGCCUUCCUCCCUCCCCCGGGCCUCCCGCGUCUGCAAGCGUUGGCGCCGCCUCGUCGCCGACCCCCGAUUCCAACGCCGCUUCCGCGACCACCACCACGGCAAGCCUCCUCUCCUCGGCUUCUUCUUCGAGGACUAUCGCUCCUGUCCGUUUGUUCCAGUGCUGGAUCGACCAGAUCGCAUCCCCCGGGAUCGCUUCUCCAUGUCUCGCCGCGAGGACAACCGCAUCGUCGACUGCCGCCACGGGCUUGUCCUUUUCCUCAGCGGAAGGCCGCCGCGCAGCCCAAGUGUGUGGGACCCCGUCGCCCGCAAGCAGCGCUGCCUGACCCUCCCACCAGAGCUGGACAACGACCGGAUGUACUUUUUCAACCGGGCGGUGCUUCGCCCUGCCCGCGGCCAAGGCCGCCGUUCAAGCCAAUUCCAGGUGGCCCUGGUAGCCUAUGACGACAGAGGAGAAGCAAGAGCUUCGGCAUGGGUUUACUCAUCGGAGACUGGCAUAUGGAGCAAGAGCAAAUCACUGCAGCUGCAAUCUUCUGUACCUAUGGACCAAUCCAGUACUUUGAUUGGGAAUUCUCUUUACUGGUUACAUACCUAUGCACCGCAUGUGCUUCAGGACCAUCGUCAGUAUUUCGUACUUGAGUUUGAUCUGAAUAAUCAGAGCCUAGCCAUGACCGAGCUGCCGGCACACAUAGAACCCGGGUAUCACACAUUGAGGAUUAUGCCCGCCGAAGAUGGUGGGCUUGGCUUCAUCCAUCUCUCACUAUUCAAUGCCCAAUUAUGGAAGAGAGAGCCUGAUUCUGAUGGUUCAGCUGUAUGGGUGCUCGACAGAGCUAUUGAAUUCGGGGAACUUGGAUCAACUUGCAAGGGUGACUCCCUCACUUUAGUUGGGUUUGCCGAGGAGAGUAAUGCAAUCCUUGUAUCGACAGCUUCUGGUGUCUUCGUGGUCUAUCUCCAGUCAAUGGAGUUUAAGAAACUUUCCAAUACGGUGUUCUUCUUUCCCCAUUAUCCAUAUGAAUGUUGCUAUGCUGCAGGUACUGGCAUUGUUGAUGUACAUGGCAGAGAUGAAGUGUUGAAAUAUAUGGGAGAUGCUCGUCUGUUAGCACAUGUUAGUACUUUGUGA